rnacentral:lncRNA from 1 species
CAUAAAGUAUCCAAACCGCCAGAUAUGCAAACAGAGGUGGCAUAAACCAUAAGUAAUUUGCAGUUUGUAUUGCCUCAAGCCCGAUUCCAUGAAUAGACUUACGACUUCACUAAACAAACACUUUGACAGUAUCUACUGUAAUGCAUUUCAUUAUGUACCGGAUAGGAGCAAACUUUUAACUACCGUGGCGAAGCAACUUUUUUUUAAGCCUGGCGAAAACCAUUCUGGAAGAACAGACUGCAUGUGAAUCAGUAGACUGCGAGAAGCCACCUAUGGACAAGCGUGCGCUUUGGUUUUUGGAAAUCCCGGGCUUUGCUGCACGAGCGUCAAAGAUCAGCAUGGACUUGAAAUGAAAGCUAUUGAAUGAGCCGUAUGUGAAAGUGGUCUAUAAAGUUUAGCUUUUUUUAUUUGUUGUUGCCGAAUUACUACUACACGUUUGAUUAAUAUCACCAAAGGAUACCAGACUGAAGACGGAAAUUCGAGGGAACGUUUCUUUCUGGUAGACUACCAAUCGAGGGAGCGAUGAACUCCUCGGCAGGUGCAGGGAACUACCGAAGGGGCUCCACCAAGGGAGAGAAGGUUACCCUCAGCCAAGGAGACGGCUCUGCUCAUAGUGCAACACGUCUUCCAGAUCCAUGGACUUCCGGUCGGCAAGGUCUCCGAUCGUGGUCCCCAGUUCCCCUCCCGGUUCUGGAAGGCAUUCUGCACCCUCAUUGGGUCGUCAGCCAGCCUGUCCUCUGGUUUCCACUCCCAAUCUAACAGCCAGUCAGAACGAGCCGAUCAGGACCUGUAGACGGCCCUUCGUUGCCUCGUCUCUGCCAACCCCACCACCUGGAGCCAGCAACUCGUGUGGGCGGAAUAUGCCCGUAACACCCUUCCCUGCUCAGCCACUGGUCUCUCGCCCUUCGAGUGUUCCUUGGGGUAUCAGCCCCCAUGAGGGUAUGGCUAUCCACCCGGGACCUGCCCCUCCGGGUGGAGUCCCGUAAACUUUCCCUGUUUCAUCUGCCCUUUCCCCAUCUCUAAAAUCCUUAGCCCCUCUGCUGUUCAUCUUCUGUUGACCCGCACCCUCCGUAUCCAUCCUACGUUUCAUGUGUCCAAGAUAAAACAUGUGUCUCACUGUCCUUUGUCUUCUGUUUCCUGGCCCACCCAUCUGGCUUACACUAUGAGGCGCCUCCUGAGUGUUCGACCUUGGGGCAGGGGAUUCCAGUACCUGGUUGACUGGGAGGGUUAUGGCCCAGAGGAGAGGUGCUGGGUCCCUGCUAAGAACAUCCUGGACCCAGCCCUCAUCGCUGAGUUCCACCGCCGGCACCACGGACAACCAGGUAUGGGCCCGGGUAGGGCGCCAGGUGGCGAGCCUAGAGAGAGUGUACUCUCAUACCCUGAUCGGUUUCACCUGUCUUUGUGCUUGUCUCCAUCCACCUCCAGGUGUCGCCCAUUUUCCCCAUUAUCCCCUGAGCAUUUAUACCUGUGUCCUCUGUUUGUCUGUUGCCAGUUCGUCUUGUCAGGUUUUUCCAGCGUGCUUUCCUGUUUUCCUGUUUCUCAAGUGUUUGUUUCCUAGUUUUCCCGGUUCUAACCAUUCUGCCUGUCCUGACCCCGAGCCAGCCUGCCGUCUUGUACCUGCC